GAUGAACGCUAGCGAUAGGCUUAACACAUGCAAGUCGAGGGGCAGCAUGGUCUUAGCUUGCUAAGACUGAUGGCGACCGGCGCACGGGUGCGUAACGCGUAUGCAACUUGCCUCACAGAGGGGGAUAACCCGUCGAAAGACGGACUAAUACCGCGUACACUCCAUCUUGGGCAUCCAAGGUAGAGGAAAUGAACUUCGCUGUGAGAUAGGCAUGCGUCCCAUUAGCUAGUUGGUGAGGUAACGGCUCACCAAGGCGACGAUGGGUAGGGGAACUGAGAGGUUGAACCCCCACACUGGUACUGAGACACGGACCAGACUACUACGGGAGGCAGCAGUGAGGAAUAUUGGUCAAUGGGCGAGAGCCUGAACCAGCCAAGUCGCGUGAAGGAUGACUGUCUUAUGGAUUGUAAACUUCUUUUAUACGGGAAUAACAAGAGUCACGUGUGACUCCCUGCAUGUACCGUAUGAAUAAGCAUCGGCUAACUCCGUG
rnacentral:rRNA from 1 species